UAAUAUAUGUAAAUCUUCAAUUAAUCUGGUAAAGAAUGUAUUAAUUGACGUGUAAGUGUCAUAUUGAUGUUAUGUAAUUAAUAUAUGCCAGUUUUUCCAUACAUUUUAUCAAGCAACGCAAUGUUUCUACUCGCGCAUGCGUACAAAUUCUCACAACCUCUUCUACAUUUUAGUCGAAUCCUAAAAGUUUUUUUGGAGUUUACAUACAUUUCGAUUGAAUCUUUUUUUCUUUUUCACCAUACGUGGACCCACUCCUAUCUUAAUUUCAUGUUCUAAGGAAUACAUUAUAAUGUUAAUAUUUCUUUUCAUCUUCCUUGUAUGUUUUCUUAAACAGGAAAGAUAACUCGCAUACUGGAUUACACGACAAGAAUUUGGAAUACUACGUUUAAUAGCUUUCGUUCAUAUGGAUAUGUAUAAGAUACAAUAAAAUGAAGAGACAUAUAUUAAUGCAUUAUAAACAUGUAUCAAAGAGAAUAUAUAAAUAAAUUGACUAAAUCGCGGCAA
rnacentral:lncRNA from 1 species